rnacentral:tRNA from 1 species
GCAGGUAUAGCUCAAAGUGGUACAGUGCAUGCUUAGCAUGCAGGAGGUCCUGGGUUCAAUCCUCAGUACCUCUU